rnacentral:misc_RNA from 1 species
UCUCCGUAGGUGAACCUGCGGAGGGAUCAUUACAGAGUACUGGCCCUUGCGGAUAGAUCUCCCACUCACUGUUAUAGUUACUGACGUGUCUUUGGCGGAACGCCGGGACACCGGCCGCAGGCGCCAAAUAAGCGCCGCGCGCCAGACAGAGACCUAAGAACACUGACUGUUACUGACGACUGAGCACUAUAUAAUAGUUAAAACUUUCAACAACGGAUCUCUUGGUUCUG